rnacentral:rRNA from 1 species
UAAAUACUCCCGAGAGACCGAUAGCGAACCAGUACCGUGAGGGAAAGGUGAAAAGAACCCCGAGCAGGGGAGUGAAAUAGACCCUGAACCCGUCUGCCUACAAGCGGUCGGAGCGUCGUAAUGACGUGACGGCGUGCCUUUUGCAUAAUGAACCUACGAGUUACCUUCCCCGGCAAGGUUAAGUACCUAAGGUACGGAGCCGAAGCGAAAGCGAGUCUGAACAGGGCGCCAAGUCGGGGGGGGUAGACGCGAAACCGAGUGAUCUACCCUUGGCCAGGUUGAAGGUUGGGUAACACCAACUGGAGGACCGGAUGGGUAAGCGUUGAAAAGCUUUCCAAUGAGCUGAGGGUAGGGGUGAAAGGCUAAUCAAACUCGGAGAUAGCUCGUACUCCCCGAAAUGCAUUUAGGUGCAGCCUCUUUAUAGUAUAUCGUGAGGUAGAGCGACUGAUUGGAUGCGAGGGCUUCACCGCCUAUCAAGUCCAGAUAAACUCCGAAUGCGCGAUAUAUAUUUAAAGGGAGUGAGGGCGCGGGUGCUAAGGUCCGUGUCCGAGAGGAGAAGAAUCCAGACCACCGGCUAAGGCCCCCAAAUGAUCGUUAAGUUGAACUAACGAGGUCGGAUCGCAGAGACAGCUAGGAUGUUGGCUUGGAAGCAGCCAUUCAUUUAAAGAGUGCGUAACAGCUCACUAGUCGAGCGAUCUGGCGUGGAUAAUAAUCGGGCAUAAACGAUCUGCCGAAGCCGUGGAUGUCGCAAGACAUGGUAGGGGAGCAUUCCAUGCCGCGUCGAAGAUGAGGGAUGACCCUUGUUGGAGCGCAUGGAAAAGCAAAUGUAGGUAUGAGUAACGAUAAGGGGGGCGAGAAACCCCCCCGCCGAAAGACCAAGGUUUCCUGAUCAACGCUAAUCGGAUCAGGGUGAGUCGGGACCUAAGGCAAAGCCGAACGGCGCCGCCGAUGGAAGAAUGGGUUAAUAUUCCCAUACUGCCUCAUGGAGUGACGUGGAGACGGAGAAGUGACAGUCCUGCCGGCUGACGGAAUAGCCGGUUGAAGGGUGUAGAUAUUGAUUCCCGUAGGCAAAUCCGCGGGGAGAGUCGAACCUGAGAGUAUACGGAGCGCUUGCGCGACGUAAUAUGGACGUAACCAUGCUCCCGAGAAAAUCCGCUAAACUUAUCCAUGCGGCACCCGUACCGUAAACGGACACACGUGGUCGGGUUGAGAAUACUGAGGCGCUCGAGUGAUUCACGGUUAAGGAACUAGGCAAAUUGACCCUGUAACUUCGGGAUAAAGGGUCCCAACGAGAGUUGGGCGCAGAGAAUAGGUCCAGGCAACUGUUUAACAAAAACACAGGGCUGUGCCAAAUUGAAAGAUUACGUAUACAGCCUGACACCUGCCCGGUGCUGGAAGGUUAAGAGGAGAUGUCAUCGCAAGAGAAGCAUUGAAUUGAAGCCCCAGUAAACGGCGGCCGUAACUAUAACGGUCCUAAGGUAGCGAAAUUCCUUGUCGGGUAAGUUCCGACCUGCACGAAUGGUGUAAUGAUCUGGACACUGUCUCAACCGUGAGCUCAGUGAAAUUGUAGUAUCGGUGAAGAUGCCGAUUACCCGCGAUGGGACGAAAAGACCCCGUGAACCUUUACUAUAGCUUAACAUUGAAUUUGGGUAAUUGAUGUGUAGGAUAGGCCGGAGGCUUUGAAGCGGGCACGCCAGUGUCCGUGGAGCCGCUGUUGAAAUACGGCCCUUUGAUUAUUUGAGUUCUAACCCGUUGUUGCGGGGACACUGUUUGGUGGGUAGUUUGACUGGGGUGGUCGCCUCCAAAAGUGUAACGGAGGCUUCUAAAGGUGCCCUCAGGACGAUUGGUAACCGUCCGUAGAGUGUAAUGGCAUAAGGGCGCUUGACUGGGAGACAGACAAGUCGAUCAGGUAGGAAACUAGAGCAUAGUGAUCCGGUGUUUCCGCAUGGAAGGGACAUCGCUCAAAGGAUAAAAGGUACUCCGGGGAUAACAGGCUGAUC